rnacentral:tRNA from 1 species
GCCUAGCUGGCUCGGUGGGUGGGGCCUGUGACUCUCGAUCUCAGGGUGGUGGGUUCAAGUCCCAUGUUGGGCG